GCAGCCUGAUCCAGCCAUGCCGCGUGCAGGAAGACGGCCCUAUGGGUUGUAAACUGCUUUUAUACGGGAAGAAUAAGGGACACGUGUGUCCUGGUGACGGUACCGUAAGAAUAAGGACCGGCUAACUCCGUGCCAGCAGCCGCGGUAAUACGGAGGGUCCGAGCGUUAUCCGGAAUUAUUGGGUUUAAAGGGUCCGCAGGCGGGCAAUUAAGUCAGGGGUGAAAUGGUGCGGCUCAACCGUAGCACUGCCCUUGAUACUGGUUGUCUUGAGUCAUAGUGAAGUGGCCGGAAUAUGUAGUGUAGCGGUGAAAUGCAUAGAUAUUACAUAGAACACCGAUUGCGAAGGCAGGUCACUAACUAUCGACUGACGCUGAUGGACGAAAGCGUGGGGAGCGAACGGGAUUAGAUACCCCGGUAGUCCACGCCGUAAACGAUGGAUACUAGCUGUCCGCUACCUUGAGUAGUGGGCGGCCCAGCGAAAGUGAUAAGUAUCCCACCUGGGGAGUACGUUCGCAAGAAUGAAACUCAAAGGAAUUGACGGGGGCCCGCACAAGCGGUGGAGCAUGUGGUUUAAUUCGAUGAUACGCGAGGAACCUUACCAGGGCUUAAAUGCAUAAUGACAGGUCUAGAGAUAGACUUUUCUUCGGACAUUUUGCAAGGUGCUGCAUGGUUGUCGUCAGCUCGUGCCGUGAGGUGUCAGGUUAAGUCCUAUAACGAGCGCAACCCCUGCCGUCAGUUGCCAGCAAGUAAAGUUGGGGACUCUGACGGGACUGCCGGUGCAAACCGCGAGGAAGGUGGGGACGACGUCAAAUCAUCACGGCCCUUACGUCCUGGGCUACACACGUGCUACAAUGGCCGGUACAGCGAGCAGCCACUCCGCAAGGAGGAGCGAAUCUAUAAAACCGGUCACAGUUCGGAUCGGGGUCUGCAACUCGACCCCGUGAAGCUGGAAUCGCUAGUAAUCGGAUAUCAGCCAUGAUCCGGUGAAUACGUUCCCGGGCCUUGUACACACCGCCCGUCAAGCCAUGGAAGCCGGGAGUGCCUGANAGUCCGUCACCGUAAGGAGCG
rnacentral:rRNA from 1 species